GACGUAGGGUCCGAGCGUUGUCCGGAGUUACUGGGCGUAAAGGGCGCGUAGGCGGUUUUUUGCGUCACACGUGAAAGCCCCUGGCUCAACCAGGGAGGGUCGUGGGAAACGGUGAAACUGGAGGCAGCGAGAGGCUGGUGGAAUUCCCGGAGUAGUGGUGAAAUGCGUAGAGAUCGGGAGGAACACCGGUGGCGAAGGCGGCCAGCUGGCGCUGACCUGACGCUGAGGCGCGAAGGCGUGGGGAGCGAACGGGG
rnacentral:rRNA from 1 species